GAGCUUGCUCCUAAGAGCAAAGGUGUCUAGCUGAUAAUUAGAUUAUUAAGGGUUAAACUCCCUUCAAGCUCU
rnacentral:tRNA from 1 species